rnacentral:rRNA from 1 species
UCCCAGUUCGGAUUGUAGUCUGCAACCCGACUACAUGAAGCUGGAAUCGCUAGUAAUCGCGGAUCAGAAUGCCGCGGUGAAUACGUUCCCGGGCCUUGUACACACCGCCCGUCACACCAUGGGAGCCGGUAAUACCCGAAGUCAGUAGUCCAACCUCGUGAGGACGCUGCCGAAGGUAGGAUUGGCGACUGGGGUGAAGUCGUAACAAGGUACC